rnacentral:rRNA from 1 species
UGACGUAGGCAGCAAGCGUUUGUUCGGAGGUUACUGGGACGUAAAGGGUGUGGUAGGGCCUGGUUGGAUAAGUCGUGGUAGUGAAAUCUCCCGGGCUUAACUAGGGCAGGGUGCGCUACGAAACUGUCUGGACUAGGAGUGUGGGAUGGGUAAGUGGAAUCCUGGUCGGUAGCGGUGGAAAGUGACGUAGAUAUCAGGAGGAACACCGGUGGUGUGAACGGCUUU